CAAUAGCGUAUAUUAAAGUUGUUGCAGUUAAAAAGCUCGUAGUUGGAUUUCUGUUCUCGAGGAUCGGUCCGCCUACACGGUGAGCACUGGUUUUUCUUGGGGACAUCCUCUACGAAGGCGGGUGGUGCACUUAAUUGUGUUGCUGCUUGGAUUUCGGGACCUUUAACCUUGAGAAAAUUAGAGUGUUUCAGGCAGGCUAGGCCGGAAUACAUUAGCAUGGAAUAAUAAGAUAGGACCGCGUGGUCGUCUUGUUGGUUUGCACCGCGAGGUAAUGAUUAAUAGGUACAGUUGGGGGUAGUUCGUAUUUAAUUGUCAGAGGUGAAAUUACUUGGAUUUAUUGAAAGAACGAACUUCUGCGAAAGACAUUUACC
rnacentral:rRNA from 1 species